AGGCCUAACACAUGCAAGUCGAGCGGUAGCACAGAGAGCUUGCUCUCGGGUGACAAGCGGCGGACGGGUGAGUAACGCGUAGGAAUCUACCUAGUAGUGGGGGACAACAGUUGGAAACGACUGCUAAUACCGCAUACGCCCUAAGGAGGAAAGCGGGGGAUCUUCGGACCUCGUGCUAUUAGAUGAGCCUGCGUGAGAUUAGCUAGUUGGUGAGGUAAAGGCUCACCAAGGCGACGAUCUCUAGCUGGUCUGAGAGGAUGAUCAGCCACACUGGGACUGAGACACGGCCCAGACUCCUACGGGAGGCAGCAGUGGGGAAUAUUGGACAAUGGGCGCAAGCCUGAUCCAGCCAUGCCGCGUGUGUGAAGAAGGCCUUCGGGUUGUAAAGCACUUUCAGAAGGGAGGAAAGGUUGUGUGUUAAUAGCACAUAGCUGUGACGUUACCUUCAGAAGAAGCACC
rnacentral:rRNA from 1 species